CCAUUGCAAAUGGAUGUUGGUUCUUGUUCUAGGACAGGCGAAGAGGGAAUGCACUCAGUUUUUCGACGGAGUAAGUCGGAAUAUCGAAACGCAGCCGCCCCCGCGACCGUGAGCAGCGAAGACGCGUGUAUACCACUGGCAAAUGCUGGGAAGGAUACGCAUCUGUGAAGGCAACGCCUUCAAAGCUGUAAGCCGGGAGACCUGCCAACAUAAAAAAACCGGAU
rnacentral:ncRNA from 17 species